UACUAUUAUAAUUUUCUUGUCCACAUUAUUAAUUGUUUUUGAUAGGUUCUUAAGAUUGAUAGAUUUGGUUAAUUUUGACUUCUAACCAAAUCUAAUAUAAAUCAAUAUAUAUAUAAAGAGAGAGAGUGAAAAAAAAAGUUAAAAACACCACACACCAACUAUAAAAGCCCUUCUUUUGCUCCAUAAUUUUUCGUCCUUCUCUGUUUCUCUAUACAUGUCCUCCACUUUAGAGACUAUAUUAAAGUUUUCUUUUUCUAUCAUCAUAAAGUAUUUUUCAAGAACCAAAAUCUAGAUCGCAAUAGAGAGAAGCAAUCAACCAUUAUCAACAACAUAUAAAAACAAUGAAAGUGCUAUACUCAAUGCAAUUGACGUUGAGGGAUUUAUCAAUCAUACUCGAGGAGAACAUAGGAAGGCCAAGGAGAAUAUUGAAACAAUAAAAACGAUAAUGGAAAACUUGAAGAAGAAAACAGAAUCUUUGAAGAAGAAAAUCGAAAAUACAAAGAUAGCACAUCUCGAACAAGAACAAACACUUGAAGUUGAAAAGGCUAAGAUGCAGAAACUUGAGAUUCAGUUGGAGCAUGCUCAAGCAACGCAAAGGGAGAUUGAGCAACUCAAGAAACCAGCUUCUCGAGAGAUUAAAUCCAGCACUCAACCUCUGCCUCCUCUGGCGUAUGCAGAAUUUUUUAUAAGUGGCGAUCGACAUUUAAAGAAGAGGACAAAUUAGAGAGAAAAUAUAUUUUUAUUUUUGAGAUUUUUUUUGUAGAGAAGUUGUUUUUCUCGUUUAGUCAUCUACAUGUAAUAGAUUCUCGUUAAUGUUUAAGAAAAAAUUACUUAUUGAAAAAAUAAAA